rnacentral:rRNA from 1 species
CCGGNGCUAACGNGUUAAGUGAACCGCCUGGGGAGUACGGUCGCAAGACUAAAACUCAAAGGAAUUGACGGGGGCCCGCACAAGCGGUGGAGCAUGUGGUUUAAUUCGANGCAACGNGAAGAACCUUACCUGGGCUCGAAAUGCAGGAGNNCGGNGUAGAAAUAUCCUUNCCUCGCAAGAGACUGCUGUAUAGGUGCUGCAUGGUUGCCGUCAG